UACGUAGGGGGCAAGCGUUGUCCGGAUUUAUUGGCGUAAAGAGCGUGUAGGCGGCCAGACAAGUCCGGUUGUGAAAACUAGGAGGCUUAACCUCUAGACGUCGAUGGAAACUGUUGGCUAGAGUCCGGAAGAGGAGAAUGGAAUUCCGUGGUGUAGACGGUGAAAUGCGCAGAUAUCAGGAAGAACACCCGUGGCGUAAGGCGGUUCUCUAGUACGGUACUGACGCUGGAGAACGGCGAAAGCGUGGGGAGCGAACAGG
rnacentral:rRNA from 1 species